UAUUGCGCUUGUUCCGGCCUGU
rnacentral:miRNA from 1 species